rnacentral:rRNA from 1 species
UGCGUACCUUUUGUAUAAUGGGUCAGCGACUUAUAUUCUGUAGCAAGGUUAACCGAAUAGGGGAGCCGAAGGGAAACCGAGUCUUAACUGGGCGUUAAGUUGCAGGGUAUAGACCCGAAACCCGGUGAUCUAGCCAUGGGCAGGUUGAAGGUUGGGUAACACUAACUGGAGGACCGAACCGACUAAUGUUGAAAAAUUAGCGGAUGACUUGUGGCUGGGGGUGAAAGGCCAAUCAAACCGGGAGAUAGCUGGUUCUCCCCGAAAGCUAUUUAGGUAGCGCCUCGUGAAUUCAUCUCCGGGGGUAGAGCACUGUUUCGGCAAGGGGGUCAUCCCGACUUACCAACCCGAUGCAAACUGCGAAUACCGGAGAAUGUUAUCACGGGAGACACACGGCGGGUGCUAACGUCCGUCGUGAAGAGGGAAACAACCCAGACCGCCAGCUAAGGUCCCAAAGUCAUGGUUAAGUGGGAAACGAUGUGGGAAGGCCCAGACAGCCAGGAUGUUGGCUUAGAAGCAGCCAUCAUUUAAAGAAAGCGUAAUAGCUCACUGGUCGAGUCGGCCUGCGCGGAAGAUGUAACGGGGCUAAACCAUGCAC